AGGGGUGAAAGGCCAAUCAAACUUCGUGAUAGCUGGUUCUCUCCGAAAUGCAUUUAGGUGCAGCGUUGCGUGUUUCUUGCCGGAGGUAGAGCUACUGGAUGGCCGAUGGGCCCUACAAGGUUACUGACGUCAGCCAAACUCCGAAUGCCGGUAAGUGAGAGCGCAGCAGUGAGACUGUGGGGGAUAAGCUUCAUAGUCGAGAGGGAAACAACCCAGACCACCAACUAAGGUCCCUAAGCGCGUGCUAAGUGGGAAAGGAUGUGGAGUUGCUCAGACAACCAGGAGGUUGGCUUAGAAGCAGCCACCCUUGAAAGAGUGCGUAAUAGCUCACUGGUCAAGUGAUUCCGCGCCGACAAUGUAACGGGGCUCAAGCACGCCACCGAAGUUGUGGCAUUGACAUUAUUGGUAGGCCUUCGUGGUCCAGCCGUGUUGAUGGGUAGGAGAGCGUCGUGUGGGCAGUGAAGCGGCGGGGUGACCCAGCCGUGGAGGCCACACGAGUGAGAAUGCAGGCAUGAGUAGCGAAAGACGUGUGAGAAACACGUCCUCCGAAAGACCAAGGGUUCCAGGGUCAAGCUAAUCUUCCCUGGGUAAGUCGGGACCUAAGGCGAGGCCGACAGGCGUAGUCGAUGGACAACGGGUUGAUAUUCCCGUACCGGCGAAGAACCGCCCCAGUCAAUCCAGUGGUGCUAAGAGUCCUAGCCAUCAUGCAGCGGAUCCCUUCGGGGUGAUGCGGUGGUGGUGAACGCUCGACCCCAUGCUGGUGCGGCUAGCGUAUUAACAGGUGUGACGCAGGAAGGUAGCCCAUCCCGGGCGAUGGUUGUCCCGGGGCAAGUGCGUAGGCCGAGUGGUAGGUAAAUCCGUCACUCAUUGAGGCUGAGACACGAUGCGGAUGAAAAGUGGGUGAUCCUAUGCUGCCGAGAAAAGCAUCGACGCGAGGUUCUAGCCGCCCGUACCCCAAACCGACUCAGGUGGUCAGGUAGAGAAUACUAAGGAGAUCGAGAGAAUCGUGGUUAAGGAACUCGGCAAAAUGCCCCCGUAACUUCGGGAGAAGGGGGGCCAUCCGCUUAUUAGGCUUUACGCCGAAAGGGUGUGGUGGCCGCAGAGACCAGUGGGUAGCGACUGUNNNNNNNNNNNNNNNNNNNNNNNNNNCGGGUAAGUUCCGACCUGCACGAAUGGCGUAACGACUUCCCAACUGUCUCAACCACGAACUCGGCGAAAUUGCAUUACGAGUAAAGAUGCUCGUUACGCGCAGCAGGACGGAAAGACCCCGUGACCUUUACUACAGCUUGGUAUUGGUGUUCGGUGUGGCUUGUGUAGGAUAGGUGGGAGACUUUGAAGCAGACACGCCAGUGUUUGUGGAGUCAUUGUUGAAAUACCACUCUGGUCACUCUGGAUGUCUAACUUCGAACCGUAAUCCGGUUCAGGGACAGUGCCUGGUGGGUAGUUUAACUGGGGCGGUUG
rnacentral:rRNA from 1 species